UACGUAGGUGGCAAGCGUUAUCCGGAUUUAUUGGGCGUAAAGAGAACGCAGGCGGUCUUUUUAAGUCUGAUGUGAAACCUUCGGCUUAACCGGAGUAGUGCAUUGGAAACUGGGAGACUUGAGUGCAGAAGAGGAGAGUGGAACUCCAUGUGUAGCGGUGAAAUGCGUAGAUAUAUGGAAGAACACCAGUGGCGAAAGCGGCUCUCUGGUCUGUAACUGACGCUGAGGUUCGAAAGCGUGGGUAGCAAACAGG
rnacentral:rRNA from 1 species